rnacentral:misc_RNA from 1 species
AACUGAUACUACCUGCGGGAACCUGCGGAAGGAUCAUUACUGAGUGAGGGCCCCUCGGGGUCCAACCUCCCACCCGUGUUUAACGAACCUUUGUUGCUUCGGCGGGCCCGCCUCACGGCCGCCGGGGGGCUCCUGCCCCCGGGCCCGCGCCCGCCGAAGCCCCCCCUUGAACGCUGUCUGAAGUUUGCAGUCUGAGAAACUAGCUAAAUUAGUUAAAACUUUCAACAACGGAUCUCUAGA